UAAUACGAAAAAGAAUGUUCU
rnacentral:piRNA from 1 species